AUACUGUAGGGAGAUGGUUUCUAAGGGGAGGUGGUCACCAUAGGGAGAUGGUUUCUAAGGGGAGGUGGUCACUGUAGGGAGAUGGUUUCUAAGGGUAGGUGGUCAUACUGUAGGGAGAUGGUUUCUAAGGGGAGGUGGUCACCAUAGGGAGAUGGUUUCUAAGGGGAGGUGGUCACUGUAGGGAGAUGGUUUCUGAGGGGAGGUGGUCACUGUAGGGAGAUGGUUUCUAAGGGUAGGUGGUCAUACUGUAGGGAGAUGGUUUCUAAGGGGAGGUGGUCAUACUGUAGGGAGAUGGUUUCUAAGGGGAGGUGGUCACUGUAGGGAGAUGGUUUCUAAGGGGAGGUGGUCACUGUAGGGAGAUGGUUUCUGAGGGUAGGUGGUCAUACUGUAGGGAGAUGGUUUCUAAGGGUAGGUGGUCAUACUGUAGGGAGAUGGUUUCUAAGGGGAGGUGGUCACUGUAGGGAGAUGGUUUCUAAGGGGAGGUGGUCACUGUAGGGAGAUGGUUUCUAAGGGUAGGUGGUCAUACUGUAGGGAGAUGGUUUCUGAGGGUAGGUGGUCACCAUAGGGAGAUGGUUUCUAAGGGGAGGUGGUCACUGUAGGGAGAUGGUUUCUGAGGGUAGGUGGUCAUACUGUAGGGAGAUGGUUUCUGAGGGUAGGUGGUCAUACUGUAGGGAGAUGGUUUCUAAGGGGAGGUGGUCACCAUAGGGAGAUGGUUUCUGAGGGUAGGUGGUCAUACUGUAGGGAGAUGGUUUCUAAGGGUAGGUGAUCAUACUGUAGGGAGAUGGUUUCUGAGGGUAGGUGGUCACUGUAGGAGAUGGUUUCUAAGGGGAGGUGGUCAUACUGUAGGGAGAUGGUUUCUGAGGGUAGGUGGUCAUACUGUAGGGAGAUGGUUUCUAAGGGGAGGUGGUCACUGUAGGGAGAUGGUUUCUAAGGGUAGGUGGUCAUACUGUAGGGAGAUGGUUUCUGAGGGUAGGUGGUCAUACUGUAGGGAGA